rnacentral:rRNA from 3 species
ACUGGAGGACCGAACCGACUAAUGUUGAAAAAUUAGCGGAUGACCUGUGGCUGGGGGUGAAAGGCCAAUCAAACCGGGAGAUAGCUGGUUCUCCCCGAAAGCUAUUUAGGUAGCGCCUCGUGAAUUCAUCUCCGGGGGUAGAGCACUGUUUCGGCUAGGGGGCCAUCCCGGCUUACCAACCCGAUGCAAACUGCGAAUACCGGAGAAUGUUAUCACGGGAGACACACGGCGGGUGCUAACGUCCGUCGUGAAGAGGGAAACAACCCAGACCGCCAGCUAAGGUCCCAAAGUCAUGGUUAAGUGGGAAACGAUGUGGGAAGGCCCAGACAGCCAGGAUGUUGGCUUAGAAGCAGCCAUCAUUUAAAGAAAGCGUAAUAGCUCACUGGUCGAGUCGGCCUGCGCGGAAGAUGUAACGGGGCUAAACCAUGCACCGAAGCUGCGGCAGCGACACUGUGUGUUGUUGGGUAGGGGAGCGUUCUGUAAGCCUGUGAAGGUGUGUCGUGAGGCAUGCUGGAGGUAUCAGAAGUGCGAAUGCUGACAUAAGUAACGAUAAAGCGGGUGAAAAGCCCGCUCGCCGGAAGACCAAGGGUUCCUGUCCAACGUUAAUCGGGGCAGGGUGAGUCGACCCCUAAGGCGAGGCCGAAAGGCGUAGUCGAUGGGAAACGGGUUAAUAUUCCCGUACUUGGUGUUACUGCGAAGGGGGGACGGAGAAGGCUAUGUUGGCCGGGCGACGGUUGUCCCGGUUUAAGCGUGUAGGUGUGUGUUCCAGGUAAAUCCGGUUCACUUUAACACUGAGGCGUGACGACGAGGCACUACGGUGCUGAAGCAACAAAUGCCCUGCUUCCAGGAAAAGCCUCUAAGCAUCAGGUAACAUCAAAUCGUACCCCAAACCGACACAGGUGGUCAGGUAGAGAAUACCAAGGCGCUUGAGAGAACUCGGGUGAAGGAACUAGGCAAAAUGGUGCCGUAACUUCGGGAGAAGGCACGCUGACACGUAGGUGAAGUGAUUUACUCAUGGAGCUGAAGUCAGUCGAAGAUACCAGCUGGCUGCAACUGUUUAUUAAAAACACAGCACUGUGCAAACACGAAAGUGGACGUAUACGGUGUGACGCCUGCCCGGUGCCGGAAGGUUAAUUGAUGGGGUCAGCGCAAGCGAAGCUCCUGAUCGAAGCCCCGGUAAACGGCGGCCGUAACUAUAACGGUCCUAAGGUAGCGAAAUUCCUUGUCGGGUAAGUUCCGACCUGCACGAAUGGCGUAAUGAUGGCCAGGCUGUCUCCACCCGAGACUCAGUGAAAUUGAACUCGCUGUGAAGAUGCAGUGUACCCGCGGCAAGACGGAAAGACCCCGUGAACCUUUACUAUAGCUUGACACUGAACAUUGAGCCUUGAUGUGUAGGAUAGGUGGGAGGCUUUGAAGUGUGGACGCCAGUCUGCAUGGAGCCGACCUUGAAAUACCACCCUUUAAUGUUUGAUGUUCUAACGUGGACCCGUUACCCGGGUUGCGGACAGUGUCUGGUGGGUAGUUUGACUGGGGCGGUCUCCUCCUAAAGAGUAACGGAGGAGCACGAAGGUUGGCUAAUCCUGGUCGGACAUCAGGAGGUUAGUGCAAUGGCAUAAGCCAGCUUGACUGCGAGCGUGACGGCGCGAGCAGGUGCGAAAGCAGGUCAUAGUGAUCCGGUGGUUCUGAAUGGAAGGGCCAUCGCUCAACGGAUAAAAGGUACUCCGGGGAUAACAGGCUGAUACCGCCCAAGAGUUCAUAUCGACGGCGGUGUUUGGCACCUCGAUGUCGGCUCAUCACAUCCUGGGGCUGAAGUAGGUCCCAAGGGUAUGGCUGUUCGCCAUUUAAAGUGGUACGCGAGCUGGGUUUAGAACGUCGUGAGACAGUUCGGUCCCUAUCUGCCGUGGGCGCUGGAGAACUGAGGGGGGCUGCUCCUAGUACGAGAGGACCGGAGUGGACGCAUCACUGGUGUUCGGGUUGUCAUGCCAAUGGCACUGCCCGGUAGCUAAAUGCGGAAGAGAUAAGUGCUGAAAGCAUCUAAGCACGAAACUUGCCCCGA